AGGUCAUUGCUCAGUACGGCGAGUGAAGCGGCAAAAGCUCAAAUUUGAAAUCUAGCACUUUCAGUGUUCGAGUUGUAAUUUGAAGAAGGUAACUUUGGUUUUGGCUCUUGUCUAUGUUCCUUGGAACAGGACGUCACAGAGGGUGAGAAUCCCGUGCGAUGAGAUGCCCAAUUCCAUGUAAAGUGCUUUCGAAGAGUCGAGUUGUUUGGGAAUGCAGCUCUAAGUGGGUGGUAAAUUCCAUCUAAAGCUAAAUAUUGGCGAGAGACCGAUAGCGAACAAGUACAGUGAUGGAAAGAUGAAAAGAACUUUGAAAAGAGAGUGAAAAAGUACGUGAAAUUGUUGAAAGGGAAGGGCUUGAGAUCAGACUUGGUAUUUUGCGUUCCCUUCCUUUUUGGUUGGGUUCCUCGCAGUUUACUGGGCCAGCAUCGGUUUGGAUGGUAGGAUAAUGACAUUGGAAUGUAGCUUUACUUCGGUGAAGUGUUAUAGACUUUGUUGAUACUGCCUAUCUAGACCGAGGACUGCGUCUUUGACUAGGAUGCUGGCGUAAUGAUCUUAAGCCGCCCGUCUUGAAACACGGAACAAA
rnacentral:rRNA from 1 species